GUGUCCAGGCAGCCAGAAGCCGCCAGUAUCCUGGCCUGUAUCACCACCAGUGCGGCAGCAGGGCCAGAGCAGUGAUUGUUCCC